CACACUGGUUGGCGCGGCCUGCCCUCCGCUGUGACUGGGGUCUUGGCCAGAUCUGGCAGCACAGUUGGCAGAGAGGAGGAGAGGAGAGGAGAGAAGAGGAGAGGAGAGGAGAAGAGACCCUUGGGCACAGGAGUCUGAGGUCUGGGCUCUGCCCGCGGGCACCACUGCCCCCCAGCGCCCGCCUGCAAGACCAUCUCUGGCAGUGUCAAAGAGUGCCGAGAGUGCCUCCUUAUAGUAUGGCACCUGGGGUUGGUGCCGUCGGUUGGCGGGGACAGAGAGGGUUCUUCAGGAUUCCAAUCAGGACUCAAAACUGAACUGUCUCCUGCUGCGAGUGGAGCUGCUAUUGCAGUAUGACACAGCACUCUGGGCUCAGCUCUGGGACUGGAUGUGGACCCGCUCCAGCACACCCCACCCCACCCUGACCCGACCCGACCCGGCCCCACCAGCAUGGAGAAGAAGAACAGAACGCAGUGCAGCACACAUUCCGGAUCCUUCUCCAAGAAAACCAGCGCCAUCUGCCUGAUGACUGUCCCGGGCUGGGUGAUUCACCAGAGGCUCUCUGGUCCAUGGGCCCAUUUGGAGCCCAUCCAUCUCUGAUCCUCUGGCGAGGUAUGAGAGGACGAAUCGUUUUCAGUGCUCUUCCGGCAUCUUCUCCAAGCACACCCCCAUCUCUCUCUGGCAUUUAACGAGCUGAAACCGACCCAAGGUCCCUUGGUUUGAUGUGGUUAAUGCCUGAAGCAGCCCUUGGCCACAAUCGCUGAAGACACAUCCAUCUGGAGAUAGCUCUCACACACACACACACACACACACACACACACACACACACACACACACACACACACACACAC